rnacentral:rRNA from 1 species
CGGAGAAGGCUAUGUUGGCCGGGCGACGGUUGUCCCGGUUUAAGCGUGUAGGCUGGUUUUCCAGGCAAAUCCGGAAAAUCAAGGCUGAGGCGUGAUGACGAGGCACUACGGUGCUGAAGCAACAAAUGCCCUGCUUCCAGGAAAAGCCUCUAAGCAUCAGGUAACAUCAAAUCGUACCCCAAACCGACACAGGUGGUCAGGUAGAGAAUACCAAGGCGCUUGAGAGAACUCGGGUGAAGGAACUAGGCAAAAUGGUGCCGUAACUUCGGGAGAAGGCACGCUGAUAUGUAGGUGAAGUCCCUCGCGGAUGGAGCUGAAAUCAGUCGAAGAUACCAGCUGGCUGCAACUGUUUAUUAAAAACACAGCACUGUGCAAACACGAAAGUGGACGUAUACGGUGUGACGCCUGCCCGGUGCCGGAAGGUUAAUUGAUGGGGUCAGCGCAAGCGAAGCUCUUGAUCGAAGCCCCGGUAAACGGCGGCCGUAACUAUAACGGUCCUAAGGUAGCGAAAUUCCUUGUCGGGUAAGUUCCGACCUGCACGAAUGGCGUAAUGAUGGCCAGGCUGUCUCCACCCGAGACUCAGUGAAAUUGAACUCGCUGUGAAGAUGCAGUGUACCCGCGGCAAGACGGAAAGACCCCGUGAACCUUUACUAUAGCUUGACACUGAACAUUGAGCCUUGAUGUGUAGGAUAGGUGGGAGGCUUUGAAGUGUGGACGCCAGUCUGCAUGGAGCCGACCUUGAAAUACCACCCUUUAAUGUUUGAUGUUCUAACGUGGACCCGUAAUCCGGGUUGCGGACAGUGUCUGGUGGGUAGUUUGACUGGGGCGGUCUCCUCCUAAAGAGUAACGGAGGAGCACGAAGGUUGGCUAAUCCUGGUCGGACAUCAGGAGGUUAGUGCAAUGGCAUAAGCCAGCUUGACUGCGAGCGUGACGGCGCGAGCAGGUGCGAAAGCAGGUCAUAGUGAUCCGGUGGUUCUGAAUGGAAGGGCCAUCGCUCAACGGAUAAAAGGUACUCCGGGGAUAACAGGCUGAUACCGCCCAAGAGUUCAUAUCGACGGCGGUGUUUGGCACCUCGAUGUCGGCUCAUCACAUCCUGGGGCUGAAGUAGGUCCCAAGGGUAUGGCUGUUCGCCAUUUAAAGUGGUACGCGAGCUGGGUUUAGAACGUCGUGAGACAGUUCGGUCCCUAUCUGCCGUGGGCGCUGGAGAACUGAGGGGGGCUGCUCCUAGUACGAGAGGACCGGAGUGGACGCAUCACUGGUGUUCGGGUUGUCAUGCCAAUGGCACUGCCCGGUAGCUAAAUGCGGAAGAGAUAAGUGCUGAAAGCAUCUAAGCACGAAACUUGCCCCGAGAUGAGUUCUCCCUGACUCCUUGAGAGUCCUGAAGGAACGUU